AGCUAUCCGGUAGAGCAUCAGACUUUUGAUCUGAGGGUCCAGGGUUCAAGUCCCUG
rnacentral:tRNA from 1 species